rnacentral:rRNA from 1 species
GAGUAGUAAAAGAUAAGAUCUUAAAACUUAAAAAAUUUGGCGGUAUUUUAUCUUAUUAGAGGAACCUGUUUAUUAAUUGAUAAUCCACAACUUUAUUUACUUUUAUUAAAUUAUUUGUAUACCGUUGUCAUGAAUCUAUUAAAAGAUUAAUUUUAUUUUUUAUUUAAGCUAUGUUAGAUCAAGGUGCAGUAUGUAAAGAACAAAAUGGGUUACAUUAUUAGUAUGAAGAAAUGGGAUUUAAAAGUAAAAUUAUAGAUUUUAAUGAAUAAAGAUUCUGAAAUAUG